rnacentral:rRNA from 1 species
AGUGAACGCUGGCGGUAGGCCUAACACAUGCAAGUCGAACGGCAGCACAGUAAGAGCUUGCUCUUACGGGUGGCGAGUGGCGGACGGGUGAGGAAUACAUCGGAAUCUACUUUUUCGUGGGGGAGAACGUAGGGAAACUUACGCUAAUACCGCAUACGACCUACGGGUGAAAGCAGGGGAUCUUCGGACCUUGCGCGAUUGUAUGAGCCGAUGUCGGAUUAGCUAGUUGGGGGGGUAAAGGCCCACCAAGGCGACGAUCCGUAGCUGGUCUGAGAGGAUGAUCAGCCACACUGGAACUGAGACACGGUCCAGACUCCUACGGGAGGCAGCAGUGGGGAAUAUUGGACAAUGGGCGCAAGCCUGAUCCAGCCAUACCGCGUGGGUGAAGAAGGCCUUCGGGUUGUAAAGCCCUUUUGUUGGGAAAGAAAAGCAGCAGGUUAAUACCCUGCUGUUCUGACGGUACCCAAAGAAUAAGCACCGGCUAACUUCGUG